rnacentral:rRNA from 1 species
AUACGGAGGAUGCGAGCGUUAUCCGGAUUUAUUGGGUUUAGAGGGAGCGUAGGUGGGAUAUUAAGUCAGCUGUGAAAGUUUGGGGCUCAACCUUAAAAUUGCAGUUGAUACUGGUUUCCUUGAGUCCGGUACAGGUGGGCGGAAUUCGUGGUGUAGCGGUGAAAUGCUUAGAUAUCACGAAGAACUCCGAUCGCGAAGGCAGCUCACCGGGCCGGAACUGACACUGAUGCUCGAAAGUGCGGGUAUCAAACAGGAUUAGAUACCCUGGUAGUCCGCACAGUAAACGAUGAAUACUCGCUGUUUGCGAUAUACAGUAAGCGGCCAAGCGAAAGCGUUAAGUAUUCCACCCGGGGAGUACGCCGGCAACGGUGAAACUCAAAUGAAUUGACGGGG